GCGCCAUUAGCUCAGUUGGUUAGAGCAGCUGACUCUUAAUCAGCGGGUCCGGGGUUCGAAUCCCUGAUGGCGCACCC
rnacentral:tRNA from 2 species